AUGCACAAGUCUUUUACUAAAAUAAGACUAUUGGUACAUUUUGGUAAUACAAAAAAAACUAUUUUUAAAUUUAUUUUAUUAGACAUCCUAAACUUGAAGAUUACUAUUAAUUAAUAUAAUAGCAAAUCACUAAUAGUAUAAUAAUGUACCAAUUAAUAGUAUAACAAAGUUUAAUAGCUUUGGUGCUAGAGCUGUCAAAAUGGACCGACCCGAAAGCCCGCAUAAAACGUAGGGCUUGGGCCUAAUAAUUGGAGCCCGAAUUUUUCCCGGGCUUUUUAGCCCGGACCGAAAAAGCCCGGAGCCCGUUCGGGCCACGGGCAGCCCGCAAAAAAUUAAGAGUGGGUCAUUUUUGGUGUGGUGUCUGCUGGGCCUGGAUUGGACAACCCAAUAUUAGGGAUCCGGCCCAAAUUGAAAUAACCCUAACUCACGUAUGUGACAUCAGCCUCACUCUCGCUCACACACGAUCACACUCUUUUCUUCUCCACGCCACGCGAUUCACAUUCCGCGCGAUUCGUAUCAUCAAAUCAAGCAAGCUCACGCGAUUCCGAUUCUGCGAUUCCGAUCAUCAAGCUCACGCGAUUCUGAUUCUGGCAGCUGAAAUCACACAGGCUCAACAACUGUGUUUCUAAUUCAGGCUCAACACCUCUAUUUCUUCUUCUUCUUCAUCGUUUUGG
rnacentral:lncRNA from 1 species